AGAGAGAGACAUGCGCGCAUAUCAAUAAGCGGAGGAAAAGAAACUAACAAGGAUUCCCCUAGUAACGGCGAGUGAAGCGGGAAGAGCUCGAAUUUGAAAUCUUAAAGGGUUUCCCUUUACGAAUUGUAGUUUAAAGAAGUGUUUUCUGUUGAGGUUUUGGUAAAAGUUCUUUGGAAUAGGACAUCAUAGAGGGUGAGAAUCCCGUAUUUGACCUUUACUUUCAACUUUGUGAUACACUUUCAAAGAGUCGGAUUGUUUGGGAAUGCAGUCCAAAAUGGGUGGUAAAUUUCAUCUAAAGCUAAAUAUUGGCGAGAGACCGAUAGCGAACAAGUACCGUGAGGGAAAGAUGAAAAGAACUUUGAAAAGAGAGUUAAACAGUACGUGAAAUUGUCAAAAGGGAAGCGUUUGACACCAGUGUUGUUUUUCUGAAAAUCAAUUAAAGAACUGUUUAUGCUAAGCUGUUUAGACUUUAUCAGCUAACUGUUUAGUUUUGAGCUUUUCUUUAAUGCACUUUUCAGUUAACAAGUCAACAUCAAUUUCUUUUGCUGUAAAAAAGCUUGAGGAAGGUGGCUUGAGAUUCGUCUUAAGUGUUUAUAGCCUCUUGCCUAUGCAGUCGGAGAGAUUGAGGUCUGCAGCGUAGAUCCUUCGGGGCUAAAUGCAUUUAUGCUAAGUUAUAGCAUUUUAUAGACAACUUGUUGACUAUGAUUUGUCUUGUAGCUUACUCGCUUAUGUUAUUUUACCUACGCUUAGGAUGUUGAGCGCAUGUCUCUCUCU
rnacentral:rRNA from 1 species